rnacentral:rRNA from 1 species
UACGUAGGGUGCAAGCGUUAUCCGGAUUCACUGGGUUUAAAGGGUGCGUAGGUGGGUUGAUAAGUCAGUGGUGAAAUCCCCGAGCUUAACUUGGGAACUGCCAUUGAUACUAUUGAUCUUGAAUACCGUGGAGGUCAGCGGAAUAUGUCAUGUAGCGGUGAAAUGCUUAGAUAUGACAUAGAACACCAAUUGCGAAGGCAGCUGGCUACGCGAAUAUUGACACUGAUGCACGAAAGCGUGGGGAUCAAACAGG